AAUUUUGGACAAUGGGGGCAACCCUGAUCCAGCCAUCCCGCGUGUGCGAUGAGGGCCUUCGGGUUGUAAAGCACUUUUGGCAGGGACGAAAAGGCUCUGGCUAAUACCUGGAGCUGCUGACGGUACCUGCAGAAUAAGCACCGGUCAACUACGUGCCAGCAGCCGCGGUAAUACGUAGGGUUCAAGCGUUAAUCGGAAUUACUGGACGUAAAGCGUGCGCAGGCGGUUCGGCAAGAAGGAUGUGAAAUCCCAGGGCUUAACCUUGGAACUGCAUUCUUAACUGCCGGGCUAGAGUAUGUCAGAGGGGGGUAGAAUUCCGCGUGUAGCAGUGAAAUGCGUAGAGAUGCGGAGGAAUACCGAUGGCGAAGGCAGCCCACUGGGAUAAUACUGACGCUCAUGCACGAAAGCGUGGGGAGCAAAUA
rnacentral:rRNA from 1 species